AUUGAACGCUGGCGGCAGGCCUAACACAUGCAAGUCGAACGAGUGGCGGACGGGUGAGUAAUGUCUGGGAAACUGCCUGUUGGAGGGGGAUAACUACUGGAAACGGUAGCUAAUACCGCAAACCAUCGGAUGUACCCAGAUGGGAUUAGCUAGUAGGUGGGGUAAAGGCUCACCUAGGCCACGACCCCUAGCUGGUCUGAGAGGAUGACCAGCAACACUGGAACUGAGACACGGUCCAGACUCCUACGGGAGGCAGCGGUGGGAAUUUUUGCACAAUGGGCGCAAGCCUGAUGCAGCCAUGCCGCGUGUAAGAAGAAGGCCUUCGGGUUGUAAAGUACUUUCAGCGGGGAGGCGUUACCCGCAGAAGAAGCACCGGCUAACUCCGUGCCAGCAGCCGCGGUAAUUC
rnacentral:rRNA from 1 species